GUACAAGUGUAUCAAGACAAUAGAUCGUGUUUGGCUUUGCUGAACUCGGAGAGUUGCAAGCAAAGGACCAAGUACUUGCAGGUUAAGCUACAUCGUGCAAGAGAGUGUAUUCAGAAAGGACUCAUUCAGGUGUCCUACAUGGCAGGAAAUGAAAUUCCUGCUGAUCUGUUGUCUAAGGUUGUUAACAGAGAACAACUUAAGGUUUAUGUACAAAGGUUGCAAUUGGGUUGAACCACAGGUACUACAGGUUACACGGAAAGGGGGAGGAUGUUAGGAUAUUUCCGUUCCACCUUAAAAGGGAGCAGGCUUUGUGAGUCAGAGUCUGCGUAUUUCCUGUUCACAGGAUGUUUAUGUUUUCUGUUGCUUUCGUUUUCUCUCUG